GGCGGGGACAAGAGGAGAGGGGAAGCUCCCGGGUUAGCAGGCGAAGGUAGUGGAAAGGGCUUUAAAGAAAGCCGAGGUGGCGGGAAAGUGGUUUAAAGGCAGCUUCUCAGGGAAGCACCAAUACAAGGCCAGGCAUGAUUAAAAUCCACAUCUUGGAGGGAAAGGCACUUGUGUGGAAUUACGCAGAAGCGCGGCGGAUCCGGGAAGAGCAUCACAUUGUUGGCAUGUUGGUUGGGGCGUUGGCUCGGAAACCUCGGCAGAACGUGCGGCUGGGUCUUCCUCUGCAGUUACUCCCGGAAGAAGCCCGGCUGCUGGUUGAAAAGGGUUUUGCAACUUUGCGUAAAAACCCAGUGUCCGAACCCUGUGGAGAUGAUGCAGGCCAGGACAUCUCGGCCCUGCAGGACGUGGCUGCUUAUCAGAAAGAACAAGAGGAAAGUUAUCAGGAACAGCUUCGGCUUGCUGCUGAACAGAGGAAGACCAUGCUGGAUGCAUUUGCUGAACGUAUAGCUCAAGGCCGGGCAAAAAAGCGGCACGAGAAAGGAGGAGAUGAAAAUCCUCCUGCAAAGCUUGCAGAUUUGGAACCUAGUUUUGUGCUUCCUCAAGAAUCCAUGAUGGUCCAGCUCCCAACGGAACGGGUCCACCCAGGCCGUGAAGAGGAAGUGGACUGGCGCGUGCCCUCUGAGGACUGGCCUUACGCUGGACAACCAGACCAUGAGAUGCGUUACUGCAUUUUCCGGAACCUCUGGGAACAGGGCUUUUACAUCACCAGUGGGAGCAAAUUUGGGGGCGACUUCCUUGUUUAUCCAGGUGACCCAAUGCGGUUCCACGCCCAUUACAUUGCCCUCUGUGUUUCUAAAGAUACACCCCUCGCCCUGAGUGACAUCAUCAGCAUGGGACGCCUGGGCACUAAUGUGAAGAAGACUGUUCUGCUUUGUUCAGUGGACCAGGAUGGGGCUGCAGUCUAUACAUCUUUACAGUGGAGUGGGAUGCAGUGACAACACACUAGCCUCUGCUGGCCGAUGGAGGGAAAAGGAGGAAUGGCAAGGAGCUGCCAGUGUUGGGUGGUACUACUGGUUAUGCUCUCCAUUUCUGGCUCUCAUCAUCAUCACAAUGGAAAUCUCUGGCAUCACCUGGCAGAUUUCUGCUGGCAGAAGAGGCUGGUAGAUAAUCCCAAAUCCCACCAGACAGUGCAUCUUUCACUCCAAAUAAGUAGGACUGCAGGAUGGGCCUUGCCUUUUAAUCACAAAUUAGUCCCAAUGUGUUCCAUACUGUUAACACCCAGGUAAGUACAGUAUGUAUGGGAUUGUUGCAAGCCCAAAUAAAUUAUUUUUUUUUCUCUAUUGUGACUAAUCAGUCUUCCAGUUAAACGGGUUCAUCCCCCAUCUGUCUCUCAAUUAGAACUUCCAGGAGUACCCUGAAUAAUUUAUUUGACUGAUGCUGAUUCCUUUGGCACAGCAACUUUAUGGAAACAAGAUAGGGCAAGGAUGUUGUAAAAAUACGUCCAUUAUGGGAAAAAAAGUUAUUCUAUUUAUUGCAAGCAAGAGCGCAUUUUGGGGUGAGGGUUGAUACAAAUAAGUCUUUCUGUGUAGUGAUUUAAAUCAAUUUGAUUAGAAUCAAAUCCGACAUAGCAUCCAGCUGGCUGCA